rnacentral:rRNA from 1 species
AAGGCAGCAGCAGGGAAUCUUGGGCAAUGGGCGAAAGCCUGACCCAGCGACGUCGCGUGGGGGAYGAAGGCCUUVGGGUUGUAAACCCCUUUUCCGAGGGAAGAGAUAGGACGGUACCUCGGGAAUAAGCCCCGGCUAAYUACGUGCCAGCAGCCGCGGUAAUACGUAGGGGGCAAGCGUUAUCCGGAAUCACUGGGCGUAAAGUGCGCGUAGGCGGUUGGAUAAGUCUCUUGUGAAAGCUCCCGGCUCAMCUGGGAGAGGUCAAGGGAUACURUUCGACUUGAGGACAGCAGAGGUAAGCGGAAUUCCCGGUGUAGCGGUGGAAUGCGUAGAUAUCGGGAGGAACACCAGUGGCGAAAGCGGCUUUCUGGGCUGUAUCUGACGCUGAGGCGCGAGAGCGUGGGGAGCAAACUSGAUUAGAUACCCMGGUAGUCCACGCCCUAAACGAUGGAUACUAGGUAUGGGGGGUAUUGACCCCCUUCCGUGCCGCAGCUAACGCGUUAAGUUCCCGCCUG